UGGGGAAUAUUGCACAAUGGAGGGAACUCUGAUGCAGCGACGCCGCGUGAACGAAGAAGGCUUUCGAGUCGUAAAGUUCUUUUAUAUGGGAAGAUAAUGACGGUACCAUAAGAAAAAGCCCCGGCUAACUACGUGCCAGCAGCCGCGGUAAUACGUAGGGGGCUAGCGUUGUCCGGAAUCACUGGGCGUAAAGGGUUCGCAGGCGGAAAUGCAAGUGAGGUGUAAAAGGCAGUAGCUUAACUACUGUAAGCAUUUGAAACUGGAGAUCUUGAGAAGAGGAGAGGUAAGUGGAAUUGGUAGAGUAGCGGGGAAAUGCGUAGAGAUGAAAAAGAAUACCGGGGGAGAAGGAGACAGACUGGGCGGAAUCUGACGAUGAGGAACGAAAGCGUGGGUAGCAAACAGG
rnacentral:rRNA from 1 species